rfam:Ancylostoma ceylanicum strain HY135 Acey_s0001_scaf, whole genome shotgun sequence.
CCAACGGCCCUCUUUAGGGCCACAAUCGCUCACGAAUACUUAAAU